rnacentral:rRNA from 1 species
GACGAACGCUGGCGGCGUGCCUAAUACAUGCAAGUUGAGCGCUGAAGGUUGGUACUUGUACCAACUGGAUGAGCAGCGAACGGGUGAGUAACGCGUGGGGAAUCUGCCUUUGAGCGGGGGACAACAUUUGGAAACGAAUGCUAAUACCGCAUAAAAACUUUAAACACAAGUUUUAAGUUUGAAAGAUGCAAUUGCAUCACUCAAAGAUGAUCCCGCGUUGUAUUAGCUAGUUGGUGAGGUAAAGGCUCACCAAGGCGAUGAUACAUAGCCGACCUGAGAGGGUGAUCGGCCACAUGGGGACUGAGACACGGCCCAAACUCCUACGGGAGGCAGCAGUAGGGAAUCUUCGGCAAGGGACGAAAGUCUGACCGAGCAACGCCGCGUGAGUGAAGAAGGUUUUCGGAUCGUAAAACUCUGUUGGUAGAGAAGAACGUUAGUGAGAGUGGAAAGCUCAUCAAGUGACGGUAACUACCCAGAAAGGGACGGCUAACUACG